GAGUUUCAGAGCAUUCUGCUAAGCUCUCAGAUGAACAUGUAUCACCAGGCCACUCAGCUGAUCUGAUCAGCCCCCAGAGACUCUCUUCUCAGAACGGCAGCCCUGCAAAGGUGCAGCCUGAAGAAGGAAAUGUAGCAAAAACCAGUUCAAUUUAACUGGCUAGCCUUGCCCUGAAUAUGGAGUCUCAACACAGGGCUCCCGUUGAGUCCUUGUGGACUUCUAGAGCUGAUCUCCAGACACCUUUCUUGCUGGUCUCUCCCUCACUGGAGCAAAGCCCAGACCUUCCGAGGGUUCGCAGUGGAAGGGGAUUCUCAGAUCUAAAACCUUGCCAUGAUACUUUGGAAUAAGCAGUGGGAACACAUCAUAUACAGGCUGAGAGCAAGCCCAAUAAUGUUGCUGACGGGACUUCCUAAAACACACAAGUUUGAAGUUGGAAAGGAAUCUAGACAACCUCCUCAUUUUUACUGAUAUGGAAACUGAGAUCUGGAGUGAUGAAUUUAUUUCCAGAGGAAGUUCAAAUUCCAAACUGGACCCAGGGAGCCAGGACAGCUGCCAUUCAGCAGGUUGAGAGCCACCCCACGAAGCUCCAGUCCUAAGCAGAGUUUCUAGGAAUCUGAGGCUACCACUUGCUUUCUCCUCCCCAUAUUCAAUAUGAAAGCAUUGCUCAUGAAAGUAAACACAAUUUGGUUGACCCUUGUCCCUCCUGGGCCUAAUACUCUCCAAAGCGGUACCUCUGGAGGUCACCAUCCUUGAAGAAGUCACAUGUUGUAUGGGACUGAGCACUUGGAUGUACCAACCCAUGUCCUGGGUCUAUGGCCAGCCCUGGAUACCUGGGUGACUUACAAAGGCAGAAAGGAUCUGUUUUAAUUUUUCUGAGAGGAAUCAUGAGAUCAAAUGUGAAAGCAGUUUUUAAGUUGCCAAAUUUUGAAUAUACAAAUUCAGGAGAUUCAUUAUUUCUUGUACAGUCACAUCCUCUGGAGGCAACUGUGUCCUCUGGUUGGGGUCAAAGAGGACACUGUUCAGCUGCAUCCAGAAGGGCCCAAUUCUCUGGAGAAUUUCUGUGGCUAUGACACCGUCUCUGACUAAUGCUAAGGGCUG